GACGAACGCUGGCGGCGUGCCUAAUACAUGCAAGUCGAACGCAUUUUCUUUCACCGUAGCUUGCUACACCGAAAGAAAAUGAGUGGCGAACGGGUGAGUAACACGUGGGUAACCUGCCCAUCAGCGGGGGAUAACACUUGGAAACAGGUGCUAAUACCGCAUAAUUCCAUUUACCGCAUGGUAAAUGGAUGAAAGGCGCUUUUGCGUCACUGAUGGAUGGACCCGCGGUGCAUUAGCUAGUUGGUGGGGUAACGGCCUACCAAGGCCGCGAUGCAUAGCCGACCUGAGAGGGUGAUCGGCCACACUGGGACUGAGACACGGCCCAGACUCCUACGGGAGGCAGCAGUAGGGAAUCUUCGGCAAUGGACGCAAGUCUGACCGAGCAACGCCGCGUGAGUGAAGAAGGUUUUCGGAUCGUAAAACUCUGUUGUUAGAGAAGAACAAGGAUGAGAGUGGAAAGUUCAUCCCUUGACGGUAUCUAACCAGAAAGCCACGGCUAACUACGUG
rnacentral:rRNA from 1 species